rnacentral:rRNA from 1 species
AACGAACGCUGGCGGCAUGCCUAACAUAUGCAAGUCGAACGAGACCUUCGGGUCUAGUGGCGCACGGGUGCGUAACGCGUGGGAACCUGCCCUUAGGUUCGGAAUAACUCCCCGAAAGGGGUGCUAAUACCGGAUAAUGUCUUCGGACCAAAGAUUUAUCGCCUUUGGAUGGGCCCGCGUUGGAUUAGCUAGUUGGUAGGGUAAAAGCCUACCAAGGCGACGAUCCAUAGCUGGUCUGAGAGGAUGAUCAGCCACACUGGGACUGAGACACGGCCCAGACUCCUACGGGAGGCAGCAGUGGGGAAUAUUGGACAAUGGGCGAAAGCCUGAUCCAGCAAUGCCGCGUGAGUGAUGAAGGCCUUAGGGUUGUAAAGCUCUUUUACCCGGGAUGAUAAUGACAGAACCGGGAGAAUAAGCUCCGGCUAACUCCGUG